rnacentral:rRNA from 1 species
GACGAACCGUGCGAACGUUGUUUGGAAUCACUGGGCUUAAAGGGCGCGUAGGCGGGCUGCCAAGUCUGGGGUGAAAUCCCACGGCUCAACCGUGGAACUGCCUCGGAUACUGGCGGCCUCGAGGGGGGUAGGGGCAUGCGGAACUGUGGGUGGAGCGGUGAAAUGCGUUGAUAUCCACAGGAACUCCGGUGGCGAAGGCGGCAUGCUGGACCUCUACUGACGCUGAGGCGCGAAAGCCAGGGGAGCAAACGGG